rnacentral:rRNA from 1 species
AGGAAACGACUGCUAAUACCGCAUACGAUCUAACCUUGGCAUCGAGGAUGGAUGAAAGGUGGCCUCUAUUUAUAAGCUAUCACUGAAGGAGGGGAUUGCGUCUGGUUAGCUAGUUGGAGGGGUAACGGCCCACCAAGGCGAUGAUCAGUAGCCGGUCUGAGAGGAUGAACGGCCACAUUGGGACUGAGACACGGCCCAG